UUUUUUUUUUUUGUCUUUUUGCCAUUUCUUGGGCUGCUCCCGGCAUAUGGAGGUUCCCAGAAGAGACAAUUAAUUAAUUAAUUAAUUAAUUAAAUAAGAAAAGAUUUUUAAAGGCAUAUGAGAAAGUAUAUUUCACUUCUCAUUCAAUACAACACAGUCCAUUGAGGGGAACUGGUCACCUCAGGGAAUGAAGCUUUAUUUAGCACAAACAGGAGAGGUUUUCAAUUAGUAUGUCUAUUCUUUAAUAAUUUCAUCAUUCUUCCGAGAUUAUAAAAGCAGUACAUCCUAGGUAAAAAAAAUUGAGAAAAAAGAUCACCCACAAUAUUAUUACCUAGAGAUAAUAAGCUCUUAUUAGUAUUUGGCAUACAUACUUUCUUUUAAGAUUUCUAUAUACAGAGCUUUUGUCCAUAUUAAAGAAAAUUAGGGAGCUCCCAUUGUGGCUCAGUGGGUUAUGAACCCGACUAGCAUACAUGAGGAUGCAGGUUUGAUUCCUGGCCUUGCUCAGUGGGUUAAGGAUCUGGCAUUGCUGUGAGCUGUGCUGUAGGUCGAAUAUGAGGCUCAGAUCCUGCAUUGCUGUGGCUAGUGGCGUAGGCUGGCAGCUGCAGCUCUGAUUCAACACCCUAGCCUGGGAACUUCCAUAUGCCAAAGGUGUGUCCCUGAAAAGCAAAAAAAAAAAAAAUCAUACAUUAAGCAUAUUCUCAUCCCAUUCUGUUUUUCUAAAUAUCAUUCCAUAUCAAUAAAUAUUGGCCUCUACCAUCCUGUUUAAAGAUUGCACAGUAUUUCACUAUAUGGAUAGGCCCUAAUGACUUAAUCAAUCCUUUAUUAAUAGGGGUUUAGGUUACUUUCCAUGUUUUGCUGUUGCAAAAAACAGGGCAAUGAGCAAUCUGGUACAUAUGACUGUUUCUUUAAGAUAAAUUCCUAGACGAUAGCUUGUCAUUUUAUAACUCUGGAUCCAUAUUGCCCCAAGUGUCACCCAUAAAAUACAUACCAAAUUUACCUUUUUCAAAAGAAGGAAACCCUUAAAUUUAAGAGUAAUAGCAUAUUUUACAUUUCUAAUAUUUAGAUUAAGCAACCAAAAACUUUAAAAAUUCAAUUUAUCUCUAAAAAUCUAAAAUAUCAAUUCAUGCCUCUGAUAUUGCAUUAGAAUUACAUUUGGAGGGGGGGAAUUCUAAAAUACCUAAUAAACCGGUUUUGUUUUCAGCAUUUAUUAAUUUGAAAACUUAAACUCUGAAAAGAAUAUACUUGCUAUAAAACAAGCAAAUUAGUAGGGAAAACUAAAAGGCAAGGAGAGAGGCAAAAAAUACACUAAUCAGUUAUAGCAGCCACCAGGUCACCAAAUCUGAAUCCUAUACAAGGGUUGAGAAAGAAGCAUCAAGAAAAAGAGAAAAGGUGACAACUAAAAGAAACAGCUUUCAGAGACUCAGUGAUGGCUGGAUUAAAUUACACACAGACAUAUACAUCUACAUGCUCUGUAUAGAACCAAUCCUGAAGCUAAUCUCUAGGGGUUAGAACACAAGAGGAACCUUUGUGUGCUUUAUUUAACCAAACAUCAUGUACAAGGGGAUGGGGGAGGCCAGAUACAGGGAAGAGUGUCUAGGUAGCAGCUUGAGGGCCUAGUAUCAACUACUUCCCCUCCUGGGCACCAGGAGGGUAACAGGAACUUGAGGCAUAAAGCAGCUCCAAAGGCACUUAUUCCCUUCAAAACCAACACAAAUGACAAGGCUCAAUCAUCAAGUUCUUUGGCAAACUGGGCAAGGUGAGACUAUUUUUACCAACAAAUAAUUUACUGGAGAGCACCAUGUUUGUGCCUAGGAGGGGAAGGCCACAUAUUAUAACUAAUCUACUGGAGUUUCAUCCUAAUGGGGAAGGCAGGGACAUUAGAUAAAGCAACCAUAACAAAAGCACUGAACAUUUAAGAUGGAAAAUGGCAGUGUGUAUAGGGGUAAGAGGAGGUACUGUUGCUUGCUAACACCACACACCUAUAGGACUUGGGGUCUAACAUUCUUCUAGGCAAGGGCUCAGUAAACUAUGGCCCUUGAAUGGGUCAAAUCCAAUUCUGACUUAUGCUAUGAGCCAUUACCUAUAUAUAACACUUUUAAAUGGUUGAAAAAUUCUUAAAACUGUUUCCCAGCAUACAAAAAUUUCAUGAAAUUCAAACAUCAGUGUCCACAAAGUUUUACUGAACACAGCCAUGCCCACUCCUGGUCAAUGGCUACCUUCUCCAUGCACUGAGUUGGGAGGCUCUAAAUGCUUCAUGCUUGUUAGUUUGGCCCUGACAUACCCAGAAUUUAGACAUAGCCUGCUAGCCUAACAGAGAAUGCAGCCCCAUUUUUAAGAACAGCAGGCAGGUCUAAUUGGUUCUAUGGAUGCUGGGGUACUAGCCAAAUAGUAACCAGAAAAAUGUGAAAGGUUUUUUGAGUUGAAAGUAGAAUGGUCUCAGAAGGUGUGUGUUGGGGUGAGUAGGAUUAAAGGUUUCUCUCUGAAAGAAUACAUGAGCUAUCUCCUUGGACAAGAGAAUGAAACCGUCCUCAAAAUGACUACUACCUUUAGGAGCUUAGCACUGAGCAAAGCCUUUUGCCUUUAUUAUCUCAUUUAAUCUCAAACCCAGGUUCAAGUCUAAGCCUGUGUUCCUAACCACUCCCUGACUUAAAAGCACAAGACAACAAUGUUCACCAGGACUAAAAGAGAGGAAAAGACCACAGGAACAGUGGAAGGUUAUUUUAUGGCCAUGAGCAUCAGAAGUGUUCUAUUCAUCUCUCUCCUCCCUCUCCCUCUUUCUCCUUAUAGUAACAUCAUUUCCUUUAAAGAAAGUAAAAUGCAACUUAUUUCUUCCAGGAACUUGCUUGUUGAGAAAAACUGAUGCAGGUACUCAAACAUGGAGACAUUUUAAAGAUGUCACCAUCAAAGUUAUAGAUCUAACUUCUACUAAAUGCAAUCAAUGUGUAAGGGUCUCCAAAAGAAGGGGGUGAGGAAACAUUUUUUGAGGCAAUGGUUUAGAAAGCACAUAUACAGUUUAAUUUAGAUUUUUCAUUUAAAGUACAAUGAGGAGUAACAGUUAAACGAAUCUUACUCAAAGAAAGGGCUAUGAUGCUGGUAGGCAGCUGAAUCUUUCUUACUAGGAUCCAUGUUCUUUGCUUUGCCAACUAUACCACCAUUUUCCUUCAAGUUCUCCAAAAAGCCUACAAUUAUAAGAACCACUCAAUCCUAACUCAUUUUGUGAAAACCAGAUUUUUAAGAAGUUUCACUUGGUUGAUAUUUUCAUCAUACUUAUUUGCAGAUAAUGUAUACCAUUAUUAUAUAACAUGUUUGUACAUAUUUACUUGGGUGUUUAUGAAUGGUUACCAACAUCUAGCUCCCAAGUUCUUCCUGUGCACCAAAUGAGGGGCUCAGAGUUUCAUACAGGGAACUUCCUGCAAGGCUCCCAACACUUCUACUAGGUAGGCUUUAUCUAGAUGAGGAACCUCAGGGUCAGGCAGGAUAAGUACAUACAGUGAAUGAGAACGAAAGAACCCAGAUUUGGACUUAAGCCUGUUUUGACUCAGAAACUGUGUUUUUCCCAGCAUUCUGCCAAGGCACCAACACAUUUCCUUAGACUAUCUCUCAGUCAAAUUUGCUGGAGAGCAGUAAGGGUGUGGAGUUGAAUAAACGAUUAGCUCUAAGAGUGGUUACUGGGCUCAAGCCUCUGCGUAUCCACAAUAAAUCCAUUUGAUCUAAUGUUUUUUGAUUUGUUUGGGUUUUUUCUGCUUUUUAGAGCUGCACCGAAGGCACAGAGAAGUACCCAGGCUAGAUGUCCAACAGGGGCUGCAGUUGCCAGCCUACACCACAGCCACUGCAAUGUGGAUCCGAGCUACAUCUGCAAUCUACACCACGGCUCACAGCAUUGCCAGAUUCUUACCCACUGGGUGAGGCCAGGGAUUGAACCUACGUCCUCAUGGAUACUAGUUGGGUUCAUUACUGCUGAGCAGAGAUGGGAACUC
rnacentral:lncRNA from 1 species